CCUUAGAGUUUGAUCCUGGCUCAGAGCGAACGCUGGCGGCAGGCUUAACACAUGCAAGUCGAGCGGGCGUAGCAAUACGUCAGCGGCAGACGGGUGAGUAACGCGUGGGAACGUACCUUUUGGUUCGGAACAACACAGGGAAACUUGUGCUAAUACCGGAUAAGCCCUUACGGGGAAAGAUUUAUCGCCGAAAGAUCGGCCCGCGUCUGAUUAGCUAGUUGGUGAGGUAACGGCUCACCAAGGCGACGAUCAGUAGCUGGUCUGAGAGGAUGAUCAGCCACAUUGGGACUGAGACACGGCCCAAACUCCUACGGGAGGCAGCAGUGGGGAAUAUUGGACAAUGGGGGCAACCCUGAUCCAGCCAUGCCGCGUGAGUGAUGAAGGCCCUAGGGUUGUAAAGCUCUUUUGUGCGGGAAGAUAAUGACGGUACCGCAAGAAUAAGCCCCGGCUAACUUCGUGCCAGCAGCCGCGGUAAUACGAAGGGGGCUAGCGUUGCUCGGAAUCACUGGGCGUAAAGGGUGCGUAGGCGGAUCUUUAAGUCAGAGGUGAAAGCCUGGAGCUCAACUCCAGAACUGCCUUUGAUACUGGGGAUCUCGAGUUCGGGAGAGGUGAGUGGAACUGCGGGUGUAGAGGUGAAAUUCGUAGAUAUUCGCAAGAACACCAGUGGCGAAGGCGGCUCACUGGCCCGAUACUGACGCUGAGGCACGAAAGCGUGGGGAGCAAACAGGAUUAGAUACCCUGGUAGUCCACGCCGUAAAC
rnacentral:rRNA from 1 species